GUAGUCCACGCCGUAAACGUUGGGCGCUAGGUGUGGGGCUCAUUCCACGAGUUCCGUGCCGCAGCUAACGCAUUAAGCGCCCCGCCUGGGGAGUACGGCCGCAAGGCUAAAACUCAAAGGAAUUGACGGGGGCCCGCACAAGCGGCGGAGCAUGUUGCUUAAUUCGAUGCAACGCGAAGAACCUUACCUAGGCUUGACAUGCACGGAAAUCCUCCAGAGAUGGUGGGUCCGUAAGGGCCGUGCACAGGUGGUGCAUGGUUGUCGUCAGCUCGUGUCGUGAGAUGUUGGGUUAAGUCCCGCAACGAGCGCAACCCUCGUUCUAUGUUGCCAGCACGUAAUGGUGGGGACUCAUAGGAGACUGCCGGGGUCAACUCGGA
rnacentral:rRNA from 1 species